UCCAUUCACUAGCGCCAAAUCAACCCCCAAGUCUUCCUCCCCUAAAAGCGCCGAAAACCUAGAUCCAGUUUCCUUCUUUUCAUAAGUCACCGGAUUUUCCUUGUUAGACUCACGCUUUUCUCACUGUGAAGGUCUCCUCUCCACCACCAUCCAUGGCUCAAAAUCUGGCCCUUUCACUUUGCCAUCUGAACCGGAAUUUCCUCCAUUCGAGCUCUCAUACGGAAGAGAUCCCUCCCUAACCAUCGGCAUAUCCUGAGAAGCCUCCGUUAAUUUUUCCACAUCUGAGGAGUUCUGAUUCAACACAACUGAGGUACACAUUUCUUUGACAUGACCAUAUUUGCCACACUCAAAACAAACGGUCAGUAAAGCCUCAUAUUCAACUCGUUGAAUAAGGCUGGCAAUUAAAACUUGUGAGGUCAAUGGUCUAUCCAGGUUAAUGUAGACGGCUAAUCUUGCAUAUCGCCCCCUGAUUUGGUUGUCCGUCUGAGUAUCCAGCUUGACGACUUUCCCAAUGAGGCCCCCGAUUACCUCAAUAAUCUUCCUUUUAUCCAGAUGUCCCGGUAGAUUUGGCAGGCGAAUCCAAGUCAAGACUACACUCGGUUAAGGUUGCAAAGGAUUGAAAUAUCUAGACCAGGGUUGCACGGUCAGAUACUAGCCAUAAACUGUCCAUGGACCCUGAGACAAUGCCUUGUUAUAAUCACCUGUAUCUUGAAAUUUCACCAAAAAGUACCCGUUAGCGAUAUCCAUUAAACGAAUAGAAUGAAUUGGUUUCCAAAGAAAAAGAAUACGAUUAUAAAGAGCAUUGUAUCCAAUGUUUCUCCCUAAAAGUUUGACGAUAACCAUCAGUUCCAUUUCUUUGAAAAAGAUCUCCUUGAUCCGGCUCGAAAAUUCAAUAGCAGGAAUCCCAUCAAUGAUGGAAGUAUUAACAUCUCCUUCCAAUAAUUCGAAAUCAUUGUCAUUCCCCUCAGUCGUCAUGACACGAUCUGAAGUAGGCGCAUCAACAUGAUUCCCCAGAAGUUUGUCUUUCCAUGAAAUAAUCUGUUGUGGUUCAGGAUCCACAGCCAUAGAGAUGUCUUCUUCAACCACAGAAUCUUUAAAUCUCACUUUUUUUGUGUUACGACCACCGUCGGGAUGAGGAUCUCCCUCCCC
rnacentral:lncRNA from 1 species